rnacentral:rRNA from 1 species
CGGAACGUACCCAGUAGCGGGGGAUAACUACUCGAAAGAGUAGCUAAUACCGCAUACGCCCUUCGGGGGAAAGGGGGGGAUCUUCGGACCUCCCACUAUUGGAGCGGCUGAUAUCGGAUUAGCUAGUUGGUGAGGUAAAGGCUCACCAAGGCGACGAUCCGUAGCUGGUUUGAGAGGACGACCAGCCACACUGGAACUGAGACACGGUCCAGACUCCUACGGGAGGCAGCAGUGGGGAAUUUUGGACAAUGGGGGAAACCCUGAUCCAGCCAUUCCGCGUGUGUGAAGAAGGCCUUCGGGUUGUAAAGCACUUUUGGCGGGAAAGAAACGGCGUCGACUAAUACUCGGCGUAACUGACGGUACCCACAGAAUAAGCACCGGCUAACUACGUGCCAGCAGCCGCGGUAAUACGUAGGGUGCAAGCGUUAAUCGGAAUUACUGGGCGUAAAGCGUGCGCAGGCGGUUCGGAAAGAAAGAUGUGAAAUCCCAGGGCUCAACCUUGGAACUGCAUUUUUAACUACCGGACUAGAGUAUGUCAGAGGGGGGUGGAAUUCCACGU